rnacentral:rRNA from 1 species
CCUACGGGAGGCAGCAGUGGGGAAUAUUGCACAAUGGGGGAAACCCUGAUGCAGCGACGCCGCGUGAGCGAUGAAGUAUUUCGGUAUGUAAAGCUCUAUCAGCAGGGAAGAAAAUGACGGUACCUGACUAAGAAGCCCCGGCUAACUACGUGCCAGCAGCCGCGGUAAUACGUAGGGGGCAAGCGUUAACCGGAUUUACUGGGAGUAAAGGGAGCGUAGACGGGGGUGCAAGCCAGAUGUGAAAGCCUGGGGCUCAACCCCGGGACUGCAUUGGGAACUGGGCUGCUAGAGUGUCGGAGAGGCAGGCGGAAGUCCUAGGGUAGCGGUGAAAUGCGUAGAUAUUAGGAGGAACACCAGUGGCGAAGGCGGCCUGCUGGACGAUGACUGACGUUGAGGCUCGAAAGCGUGGGGAGCAAACAGGAUUAGAUACCCUUGUAGUC